rnacentral:rRNA from 1 species
CAGUCGACGAUGAAGCCCUUCGGGGUGGAUUAGUGGCGAACGGGUGAGUAACACGUGGGCAAUCUGCCCUUCACUCUGGGACAAGCCCUGGAAACGGGGUCUAAUACCGGAUAACACUCUGUCCCGCAUGGGACGGGGUUGAAAGCUCCGGCGGUGAAGGAUGAGCCCGCGGCCUAUCAGCUUGUUGGUGGGGUAAUGGCCUACCAAGGCGACGACGGGUAGCCGGCCUGAGAGGGCGACCGGCCACACUGGGACUGAGACACGGCCCAGACUCCUACGGGAGGCAGCAGUGGGGAAUAUUGCACAAUGGGCGAAAGCCUGAUGCAGCGACGCCGCGUGAGGGAUGACGGCCUUCGGGUUGUAAACCUCUUUCAGCAGGGAAGAAGCGAAAGUGACGGUACCUGCAGAAGAAGCGCCGGCUAACUACGUGCCAGCAGCCGCGGUAAUACGUAGGGCGCAAGCGUUGUCCGGAAUUAUUGGGCGUAAAGAGCUCGUAGGCGGCUUGUCACGUCGGAUGUGAAAGCCCGGGGCUUAACCCCGGGUCUGCAUUCGAUACGGGCUAGCUAGAGUGUGGUAGGGGAGAUCGGAAUUCCUGGUGUAGCGGUGAAAUGCGCAGAUAUCAGGAGGAACACCGGUGGCGAAGGCGGAUCUCUGGGCCAUUACUGACGCUGAGGAGCGAAAGCGUGGGGAGCGAACAGGAUUAGAUACCCUGGUAGU